GGGCGUGUGGCCAAGGGGUAUGGCGUCUGCUUUGCAACGCAAAAACUGCAGAAGAUCCAGGGUUCAAAUCCCUGCUCGUCCA